AUAUAUCCUUAUGAUAUCAUAAAGGGGAAAUUUCUACCUCGUUUAAGAACUUAAAGAUCUCCAUGAAAUAGAUACUGGGUUGUAAGUUGUUUCUAGUUAGCAUGUGUUACUGAGAAGGGCAAAGGCCACCAUAUACUCAGGUUGCUUUGUUGGUCUUCCUCUGCAGAGUUAUGCUCUUCUCCUUCCAAGUCCACACUGAGGUGGGAAGCUCCUCCCCACACUCCCCAUUAGGAAGGAUGAGCAUGGCGUCAGAGCCUGUGUCCUGUCAUCAUGGUGCCCUGUGAGCACACUACAACCUGUGUCUGCCCUCUGCCAUGGCCCAUACCUCCCAUGUUGCAUCUAAGCAUUCUGCGAGUAGAUGGAUGUGGGAAGGAUUCUUGAAGUCCCCCUUCAGUACAUGGAGCCUUUUCAAGGAUGAUAAAACAUUUUUUUUUCUUGGCCACUAACAAAGGCUUGCUUGUUAUGUUCUUUCUUCUUUACCUUGGGUCAUGUAUCUGUCAAGUGUUGCUACGAUACCAUGUUGUAGGGUGGAAACCCUUCAUAAGAUUUCACAAUCCUUAAAUAAUUAUAGCCUGUUAAGUACCAAGAGUCACUGUAGAGGCAUUUAUAUAAUCAUGUUGUCUAAAGGGCCUCAUUUCAAGCUGGUUCGUGUGCUGUGAUUUUCCUGGGACCACAGAGCAUUGUUACCUAAUUCCCAGAAGCAGUUGCUUCCUUGAGAGGCUCAAAUCGCCGCUUGCUCCUGACUUCCCAGGCUUGCUCACUUUUGGGGAGAAAGCAGCAUUUUGAUGUCACCGUAUUUUAGCAGCACAAAGCUCUAUGAAAUCAUUGUUUAAGAAAAACUCUGGACAGCCAAGGAAAUGGUUCAGUGGGUUACACACUUGCCACCAAGCCUAAUGGCCUGAGUUGAUCCCUGGGACCCACAUAAAGAUGGUAAGAGAAGAACUACCCCACUGAAUUAUCCUCUGAGCUCCAUAUGUGUGCUGGGGAACAUGUGCCAGCAAUCAUUAAUCCUGCACAUAUAAACCCACACAAUACUGACAAAUACAGUUUUUAAAUUAAGAAAAAAGAAUUUGUAGACUGGACAUGCCAUCCUAGUUCUGGGGAGACUGAGGAAGGUCACAAGGUUAAGCCAGUCUAAGCUACAUAAGGAGAGACCCUGUCUAAAAAUAAUAAUAAUAAAUGACUCUAAGGACCAGAUGUCAGUUUAGUGGUGGAUAUAGUAGGCAUGAUCUGCUGGCUCUGACCCUGAAUACUGG
rnacentral:lncRNA from 1 species